GCCGCGGUAUCCUAACCGUGCAAAGGUAGCGUAAUCAUUUGUCCCCUAAAUAGGGACUUGUAUGAACGGCUAACUGAGGCUCUAACUGUCUCAUCAAGCUAAUCAAUGAAACUGAUCUUCCAGUACAAAAGCUGAAAUAAAAACAUAAGACGAGAAGACCCUGUGGAGCUUAAAAUCCAUACUAUAAACCUCAUCUUUCCCCAAAACGGGGCACUACUAAAAUCAAUAGUACAAACUUUUAGUUGGGGCGACUUUGGAAUUAAAAAAAACUUCCAUGCCAGGGACCUUCCCCUAUCUAGGCAAACACGCCAAAAUAAAUCCUUAUUGACCCAGCCCAUCUGAGCAACGAACCAAGUUACCCCAGGGAUAACAGCGCCAUCCUCUUCAAGAGUCCCUAUCGACAAGAGGGUUUACGACCUCGAUGUUGGAU
rnacentral:rRNA from 1 species